rnacentral:lncRNA from 1 species
CAAAUUCUUUAGCAACAAGAUCAUUGAUUUCCUUUAUUAUAAAACCCACUCUAGGGGCUGGAGAGAUGGCUUAGCAGUUAAGAGCACUGGCUGCUCUUCCAGAGGAUCCAGGUUCAAUUUCCAGGACCCAUAUAGCAGCUCACAGCUGUCUGUAACUCCAGAUCCAGAGGAUCCGACAUGCUCACACAGACUUACACUCAGGAUUUGACAACUGGAUGUGAGAAUCGAACCAAAGCUCCCUGUGUCCACCUGGUUGGCAGAGUGCUUCCCCAGCACAGAAGGAACUGGUACACACGUGGGAUUCAAGCACUCAGGAGCUGGAGGCAGAGCACCAGAAGCUCAGGUAUAAGGGGUUCAGGGUCAGCCUAGGGCACAUGAGAUCCUGCCGAAAGCAACAACCAAACUCAACGUGCUGAACUAUAUUCAGCUGAAGAUCAGAUAGUGCAGUGGAUGGCAGAGCUGUUAAGAACAGGUAAUGAAGACUUGGACCCUUGUCUCAAUUGUUAAGCUAUGAUAGUAUUCUUAAAAACAUCCAACUUCUAUAGAGUUCCCUAAUUAUGAAAAUUUCUUUUAUACAGUUUAGUACUCCUGGUUUUGCUGUGCAAAUUGAAUGUGGAUUUGUAGAAAUUUGUACCAAAAUGUAGAAAAACUGCCAAAGAACUUCAAUGGAAAUCUUUAUGUACUAUUACAAUGAAAUGCUGUUAAUUCAUGUUGCUUACAUUAAAGACUAUUUUCAACUUUAAAUAUUUUAAAUAAAUGAUUCUGAAGUCCCA